rnacentral:rRNA from 1 species
GUAGGUGGCAAGCGUUGUCCGGAAUUAUUGGGCGUAAAGCGCGCGCAGGCGGUUUUUUAAGUCUGAUGUGAAAGCCCACGGCUCAACCGUGGAGGGUCAUUGGAAACUGGAGAACUUGAGUACAGAAGAGGAAAGCGGAAUUCCACGUGUAGCGGUGAAAUGCGUAGAGAUGUGGAGGAACACCAGUGGCGAAGGCGGCUUUCUGGUCUGUAACUGACGCUGAGGCGCGAAAGCGUGGGGAGCAAACGGGGGAUUAGAUACCCUGGUAGUCCACGCCGUAAACGAUGAGUGCUAAGUGUUAGGGGGUUUCCCGCCCCUUAGUGCUGCAGCUAACGCAUUAAGCACUCCGCCUGGGGAGUACGGCCGCAAGGCUG